AUGCUAUUCUAGAGAUAGAAGUUACUUCGGUACAUCGGUGACAGGUGGUGCAUGGUUGUCGUCAGCUCGUGUCGUGAGAUGUUGGGUUAAGUCCCGCAACGAGCGCAACCCCUAUUGUUAGUUGCCAUCAUUCAGUUGGGCACUCUAGCGAGACUGCCGGUAAUAAACCGGAGGAAGGUGGGGGAUGACGUCAAAUCAUCAUGCCCCUUAUGACCUGGGCUACACACGUGCUACAAUGGUUGGUACAACGAGUUGCGAGUCGGUGACGGCGAGCUAAUCUCUUAAAGCCAAUCUCAGUUCGGAUUGUAGGCUGCAACUCGCCUACAUGAAGUCGGAAUCGCUAGUAAUCGCGGAUCAGCACGCCGCGGUGAAUACGUUCCCGGGCCUU
rnacentral:rRNA from 1 species